CACCUACGGGGGGCAGCAGUGAGGAAUAUUGGUCAAUGGGCGGGAGCCUGAACCAGCCAAGUCGCGUGAAGGAAGAAGGUACUUAGUAUUGUAAACUUCUUUUGUCGGGGAACAAAGGCGGAGACGCGUCUCCGGAUGGGUGUACCCGAAGAAAAAGCAUCGGCUAACUCCGUGCCAGCAGCCGCGGUAAUACGGAGGAUGCGAGCGUUAUCCGGAUUUAUUGGGUUUAAAGGGUGCGCAGGCGGCGAGUUAAGUCAGCGGUAAAAUUUCGGGGCUCAACCCCGACGAGCCGUUGAAACUGGCUU
rnacentral:rRNA from 1 species